rnacentral:miRNA from 6 species
CAGUGCAAUGUAAAAAGGGCAU